rnacentral:lncRNA from 1 species
AAAAAGUAUUUCUGGCUUAAGAAGCUGUGUGUUCACCCUGGGCCAAAAUGAUCAAUCCUGGAUUGUUCAUAGGCAAUUCGACCUCUUCUGCCAAAGAAUCAAACUUUCUAUUUUGAGAGGGGUCAUCUGGUCUGUUUCAAUGUGCUUCAGGCAAAUCCACCUAUAAAUUAGGCCAGAGAUAGAAGCAUUGACCGUAUUUUUUAAAAGGCUUCCCUGUCUGGAAACCUUUUUCUUAUGUACAAUCAAAACCUUUUUGGUUGCAAGUAAACCAUUUUCCUUCCAUUAUUUCCCCAGUGAAAAUAAAAUAUAAAGAAGAGUAACCACCUGUUUUCAUAAGAAAGCCUUUAAUGUAUUGUGGCCAUGUAACCACUCUCCCAUCUUACCCAAGUUAUGCAGUCCUAGUUUUGUUAGUAUUUCUCCAUACAUGCUUUCUCCAAGUACAUUAGCACCUGUUGCAUGCUCUCAUGAGUGGACUAGCCCUAUAUUUCAUUCCUCUUCCUAUUGAGGUUCUCACUCCUGCACCAGAACGUUCUAGGAAAGUGCAAAUAUUAGCAACAGCAGGAUGUUCAUCUAAUUUGUGACUGUGAUUUCUCAGCUUUGUCCACGUGUGCUUUAUCCUAACAAGCUAACAUAGGAUCAUUGCUACAGUCUUUUUGGUGCUUCUCAGGUUCAAGCCCACAUUCUUCUCAUUUCUGGAUGCCACUUUCCAGCUAUCAGACUGUCUUCUUCACAGAGAAGGUGCACUGUAGAGCAGAGAUGGUGGGCUCAGCAAGAAGCAUGCAGAGAGCUACUCCUGGUCCCUUAACGGCCAUUUCCUCUUCUAUGCCCUUGUGCAUGCUGUUUGGUUGUAUUGGCAUUUCACCCAAUAGUCUCUUCUUCUCCAUGGAAAUCUUCUAUCCUUCUUUGGGACCCAGCCCAAAUGUCGUCUCAUUAAACCUCUAUGAUGGGUGAGGUACUUCAUUCUACUCCUGCAGACACCUUUAUUAUCUAGUCUCCAAAUGGAGGUCUAAGGCAUCAAGUGCUGGAGUUCCACCGGGGGACAGUCGCCUGCUGUGGUCACCUGCAGGGAGAAGGGAUGAAGAACUAUCAGAGUCCCGGCUUUCCCCAUGUCUGGAAAGAGUGGAGAGGAACUGGGUCUUGCUGAGCAAGUCCAGCCCUGCCAAACCCAGUUGCUUUCACAUGUGUGUAGCAGACCUCGGCUGAGCACACAGCCUGGAUGCCAAGGACAGGCCCUGGGCCAAAGUACCCAGGUGGGCCUGGUGCUCUUGUCCCUGCGGCCCUCUGCAGGGCUGGCCCUUGGACACGUCCAGCUGACACACACCCAGUACUUCACAGAUGGCAGAUGCCUACCCCUGCCGGGAAGGAGCCCACUUGGAAGCUCUGUAUGAUCCUGGUCACCUCGAGCCAGGAGAAGUCACUCUAUUCUCAGUGACUUGGAGCCUCAUGCUCACUUCUCCUGGUGAGACAGCUGAUCAAACACCAGGCCUCACAACUUCCACACAUUUGGAACAACACGGAAAGGCGGCUAUUUCCUACAAGCACGAAUGUAGCUCUCUCCCUACAGGUAAUUCCAGUGGAUUUAGGAGACCUCCUAGACUUGCUGUGGUUGCCAGCUUGAAGCUCGUCUGUAAACACUGACAUGUCGGAUUUGUCCCAAAUAAGAAGGCCUGUCGUUUCCUCCAGCCCCACUCGAGGCCUGGGGACACAGAAGGAAAGAACCCUAGUUCCAAUCAAAGCAACAUUUUACCAGAAAUCUGGCAGGCGCAUGGCCUCCCCGUCCCCCUAGGCUGAUUAUGGAGUGCAGUCGCCUAAUUGUUUGUGAUGUGCCAAAACCCCGUUAGGAGUUUGCUCGUUACCUUGGAAGUUCUGCCAAAAAAUUCUCUGUAGUUCUGGGCAGAGACACAU